CGCCGCCAUUUUGGGCUGGGAGGAGGCAGCGGAGGGACUCGCUGCGCAGGGCGCGGAUCCUGAGGCCGAGCUCUGCCAGCUUCCCUCCCCACCCCCAUUCGGCCUGGGUAUGGCGGCGAGGCCCCGCACAGAGGGACUCCCACUUCGACUGGAGAGGUGGGGGCGACGCCAGAUUCCAGAGGCUGGCGCCGCGGGGGAGGGCGGAGGUCGCAGGUCUGGCCACAAGUCGGCGUGGCAGUCAGCUGGAGGCUCCGAGAGCGGAGAUCCCAGUGCACCCACCUUACCUCGCUUACACCAAAGCGCCAUCUCGCCGCCCGGGUUGCGAAAAACCACGACCCUCUUAAACUACUGUAGCAACCACUAAUUCCCCCUGGGAGCAGCUAGAGAGGGGCACUUGGAAACCUUCACGAGCUCGGUGCCUGAAGGUCUCUGAGGCUCUUGCCCUCAAGAUCUCUCCCAUUCAGCCCCGAUUCUCCGGACAACCUGACCUAGCAUGUCGCCAGCCUCUUGGUGAAACGCCUAAAGUGUGCUGCCCCACUUCUCUUGAAAGUUUACACCGAAGGGAUGAGGUUUUGCCCUUUACAGGGUUGGGGCACAAAGUCGGAGUCGCUGCGGCUCCGAAAUAGAAACGGAGUUGCCCAUUUCGUAUGCUUCAUCAACAUCUGCUUGCAUUUUGAAAUCCUAGUCUUAACUUUUACACAACUUUUAGAGAAAUGGCUGCCCUCCUAGAGGGAAAAACGAACUACAGUAAUUCCAAUUCCAAUGUAAUCUUUGUAAGACUACAAAAUCUUUCCAGUUUAAAGAUUUUUCUUUUCCCACAGACUAAACAAAGUCAGAGUAUUUUGUGUUCUACUGGUGCAUUGUUACUAGGUAACCUCAAUUUUUUGAAAUUCCAAGUAAUUGAAGGAUCACUUUUGUAGAUCCUAAAUGCUACCAAAAAAGAAACCAGUUUUUAUCUACUUCAUAUGUAUAGCGUUUAAGAGAUGAGGAGACCUGCUUUGAAAGAAUAAACUCUUAACCUUACAUUAUAGCUGUAGCAGCUUCUUAAAGAUUGAAGUUUGAUGUGAAGUUCUUUUAUUGAAUUGCAGGUUAAACCAUCUUACUUCCUACUGCUUGAAAUCUAAAUCCAGAGAGAUUUGUGGCUCAAGGAUAUCUUCAAAUAAAAGUUUUAUUGCUAAAAUGUCAGUUAAAAUUAUGCCUAGGUAGGUGCUGAAGUAGGAGAGGCUUUGACGUAGCAGAGUGACUGGCAGUGAAUUUUGUGGGUACCUUGUGAUGAGUCUUAUUAUCAGUUACAAAUGGUCAAAACAUGCCUAAGCCUUCAGCCUUACUAAAAGUUUAACAGAACUUGGCCUGGCGCGGUGGCUCACACCUGUAAUCCCAGCCCUUUGGGAGGUGGAGGCGGGUGGAUCACCUGAGGUCAGGAGUUUGAGACCAACCUGGCCAACAUGGUGAAGCCCCUUCUCUACUAAAAAUACAAAAUUAGCCGGGUGUGGAGUUGCGUGCCUGUAAUCCCAGCUACUCGGGAGGCUGAGGCAGGAGAAUCGCUUGAACCCAGGAGGCAGAGUUUGCCAUGAGCCUCUCACCGUUGCACUCCAGCCUGGGUGACAGAGUAAGACUCUGUCUCAAAAAAAAAAAAAAGUUUUCCAGAACUGAAGUUCUGCUCCUCCUAUUAAUAAUUUUUCUUCAGUUGGAGUGACAACUCCAUAGCAUUAACUUUUUUCCCUCUGCUCCCCAGAUGUUUUACAACUGGAUUACAAAAUAGGAUCAUCAUUGACUAGGGUCCUCAAUCCAAAACUGGAACCACUUACUCCUAACUGAAGCUUCAGUACACUUGAUGCCUACUGUGGUUUGAUUUUUUACCUACAUAUGACAUGUUCGCUCUACACUGAUCAAGAGAUGUGAGUUUAAAAAAGCUAACUAACUUGGUAGGACUUAAAUAGUCAUAGGAACAGAAAAGGCUUUUAAAGACGAUCUUUGUGGGUCUUCUGUCAAGAAUUUAAUGGAGGAUCCUAGACACUUGGGAUUCAUCCUCCAUUAUGAAGUAAUCUAGUGAAAUUUUUGGAUGCUACUGAGUGGCAAAUACUGUACCAGCAGCAGAAAUUUGUUACUCAUUUGUAAAUGAAACUUACUAUCCUUAAGGUUGACCCACAAGCUUUUCCAUUCUUUGCUAAGAAAAAUUGGGAAUAGGCCGGGCACAGUGGCUCACGCCUGUAAUCCCAGCACUUUGGGAGGCCAAGGCGGGCAGAUCACGAGGUCAAGAGAUUGAGACCGUCCUGGCAGACAUGGUGAAACCCCAUCUCUACUAAAAAUACAAAAAUUAGCUGAGUGUGGUGGUGUGCACCUGUAGUCACAGCUACUUGGGAAGCUGAGGCAGGAGAAUUGCUUGAACCCCGGGGCUGGAGGUUGCAGUGAGCCGAGAUCGUGCCACUGCACUCCAGCCUGGGUGACAGAGCAAGAUUCUGUCUCAAAAAAAAAAAAAGAAAAAAUGGGAAUAAAACCAGCUUAUUAGUGGCCUCCUGGUUAUCUAAGGAAAACACAGGACUGUAGGACUGAAAAUUAGGAACUCCGAGCUCUGUUUCUGUGUGUGCUGCCCUUAACUUGGUUGACUUGGCCAGAGGCCAAAUACUGAUAAUGAGGCCAAACUGGUCAUUUUGCUGCUUAGUCUAUUGUUCAUCUACUGUUCAACCAGACUUUCAACUUCCUUUUCAGCUCUCCCCUCUCAGAUGAGUUGCAUUAUGCUUUUAUGACAAAUUCUACAAACUCUAUAUUCAUUUGAAAAUGGUAUCAGCACUGUCUCCCUCAUAAAUACCUAGAGGAGUAACUAGUCUUAAGUCGCUAUGUAAACACUUACUCCUUGUAACUUUGUUAUAUGAGAACUUCACAAGGAAUGCUUCAAAGAUCAUUGGGGCAGUUGGAAAGCCUGCCUUACCAAAGUGUGGCCUUAGUUGUCCAUAGCAUCACAAAAGAGCCAUCCAAGUAGGCUGAAUGAGGAUCAGUCUCUCAGGGUGCCCACUGGUUGUGGCUGUGAAGUCCUGGACACUCAUUUUGCCUGAUGGCCAAAUCCUAGGGAGCAGUGACUAUGUGUGAGUAGGAUUCGUUGACAGAGGUAGGAGGUUUUUUUUUUGUUUUUUUUUCCUGCUGCCUGUAUAAUUGCAGAAAAGGAGUGAUUCUUUACAGUAAUUCCCCCUCUUCGGGAUGAAGAUGCUUGCUUCUGUUUGGUUUCCACAGUUAAAUCAAUUUUUUUUCCUUUUCUUUUGAGAUGGAAUCUUGCUCUGUCGCCCAGGCUGGAGUGCAGUGGCGCGAUUUCGCCCACUGCAACCUCCACCUCCCAGGUUUAAGCGAUUCUCCUGCCUCAGCCUCCCGCGUAGCUAGGAUUACAGGCACUCACCACCAUGCCUGGCUAAUUUUUGCAUUUUAUUUUUUUCUGGAACGGAGUUUCACCUGGUUGCCAAGGCUGGAGCGCGAUGGUGUGAUCUUGGCUCACCACAACCUCUGCCUCCUGGGUUCAAGCGAUUCUCCUGCCUCAGCCUCCCAAGGAGCUGGGACUAUAGGCAUGCGCCACCAUGCACGGCUAGUUUUGUAUUUUUAGUAGAGAUGGGGUUUCUCCAUGUUGGUCAGGCUGGUCUUGAACUCCCAACCUCAGGUGAUCCUCCCACCUUGGCCUCCCAAAGUGCUGGGAUUACAGUCAGUGAGCCACUGUGCCCGGCCUGUAUUUGUAUUUUUAGUAGAGACAGGGUUUUACCAUGUUGGCCAGGCUGGUCUCCAACUCCUGACCUCAGGUGGUCCGCCCACCUCGGCCUCCCAGUGUGCUAGGAUUGCAGGCGUGAGCUACGGUGCCUGGCCAGUUAAUCAGUUUUUUACCCUCCUGUGUUUAGGCCCCAACAUCCUGUUCUUGAUCUUUUUUGGCAAAAAUUUGGCCAAAGAUUGAAAUUUUGCCUCCUGGACCAUAUAUUUUGCUCCAGUUGCAAAGUAUGACUUUUAUCCUUUGGUCAGCAGUUCCCAUGGUGUUUAGGGCCUGAAUUUGACAUUCUUUUUUUUUUUUCUUUUUGAGAUGGAGUCUAGCUCUGUUGCCCAGGCUGGAGUGCAGUGGCACGAUCUCGGCUUGCCGCAACCUCUGCCUCCCGGCUUCAAGCAGUUCUCCCUGCCUCAGCCUCCCAAAUAUCUGGGAUUACAGGCGCCCACCACCACACCCGGCUAAUUUUUGUAGCUUUUUUUGUUUGUUUGUUUGUUUUUGAGAGUCUCACUCUGUCACCAGACUGGAGUGCAGUGGCGCAGUCUCGGCUCACUGCAACCUCUGCCUCCUGGGUUCAAGCAAUUCUCCUGCCUCAGCUUCCCAAGUAGCUGGGACUACGGGUGGGCACCACCAUGCCUAGCUAAUUUUUUUUCUGUAUUUUUAGUAGAGACGGAGUUUUACCAUAUUGGCCAGGAUGGUCUCGAUCUCUUGACCUUGUGAUGCGCCCGCCUCGGCCUCCCAAAGUGCUGGGAUUACAGGCGUGAGCCACCGUACCUGGCAACAUUCUCUUUUUUUAAAAAAAUAACUUUUUAUUUCUAGCCUCAACCAUUUACACUUUGCUUGAGAAAGAAUAAUAAAGUGGAAUUGUUAUUCCAGUGAUGUUGUGCAAAUGUGAGAAAUAGUACUUCCCCCAAAAAAACAAACCUCGAAACCCCACAAACUCAAGUGUACUUAAGUACUUAACGUUCAAGUACUUUUUAACUAUAACCAACUUUUCCACCACACUGUUGUGAAUAUUUGUUGCUAGCUGUUAUGGGUAUAAGUGAUCAAGGGAAGAACUGAUGCAUUACCUAAUGCUUGACUAAAUAUAGCCAGCCCUUAAGUAGGUAGAGUAUUUGGUUGUGGGUUUUGUUGUUUAAGUCUGUGGAGUCCCUCUUUGGUUUCUUUAACUUUUGCAGUCAUUAGGGCAGAGUAUAUUUAUUUACAUUUCUCCAAGCAAAGUCUUGCUCUGUUGCCCAGGCUGGAGUACGGUGGCGCGAUCUCGGCUCACUACAACCUCUGCCUCCCAGGUUCAAGCAAUUGUCCUGCCUCAGCCUCCCGAGUAGCUGGGAUUACAGAUACCCGCCACGAUGCCUGGCUAAUUUUUGUAUUUUUAAUAGAGACGAGAUUUUGCCAUGUUGGCCAGGCUGGUUUCGAACUUUUGACCUCAAGUGAUCCAUCUGCCUUGGCCUCCCAACGUGCUGGGAUUACAGGCGUGAGCCACCAUGCCUGGCCUAAAUUUACUUUUUAAUAGAGACGAGGCUGGUUAUGUUGCCUGUGUUGGUAACUGUGUUGCCUAGGCUGGUGUCAAGUGCUUGAGCUCAAGUGACCCUCCUGCCUUGGCUUCCCAAAGUGUUAGGAUUACAGGCAUGAAGCCACUGCGCCUGGCCUGUCUAAUCUUUAUUAUGCUUCCCCUCUUUAGAGAUACUUAGUCUGUUUUUCAGAACUAAACCAAUCUGGAACUCCCUGGCUCUCUCUCCUAAAACUCUGAAGUCUAGAGGACCCUGUCUCCUGAGGGCUCUAAGAAAAGCUGUCCAGCUAGCUGUGUCAGUUUGAGAAGCAGUUUUUCCUGAUUGAAUACCUAGGCCCCAGUAGGAAAAAGGGAACAAACUGAAAUUGCUAAUUUGUAAGCCUGGUCUUUUGAGCAGCUCAGUUAAAA
rnacentral:lncRNA from 1 species